CUCGGCCGCCCAAACACUUUCCCUUCCACCAAUCCUUCUCCGAUUUGUCGAUUACCGUCACUUUGUAACCAGCUCUGUGUGACAUACAAUUAGAUUUCAAGUGUUAUUGAAAUUUUAAAAGAAACUCAUUGAAUGAUUACUUCAAGUCUAAUUCAUCUCGAUGCCGCGCCUCGAAGUUAUAAAGCACCACAUAGAGAUUGUUGGGAGGUAACACGCGUUUCCCGGGUGGAUUCAUAUGAUUUUGAUUAUUGGUGUGUGGUGAGGGGCAGGGUGAAGUGCUUGCAGACGAAUAAGAUUUCUCAUUUUCAUCGGGCAGUUCCAUACUGGACAUCCUGAUGGCUCCUCUGAUGUGUUUAUGAACGUUGUGGCCCUGGCCUGGACUGCAUGGCGCUGCAAUCGAAUCGUCCAAAUUACAAAUAAGUAUGUAAAUUAAAGUUAAAAUUAUUUAUAGGCCAAUUUUUCAAAUUCGAAUCUACUCACAUAAUCUGUUGAUGCUUCCACUGUCCGAAUGUCUGGGUGGCGUUGAUUCCCUUUGUCCACCGACAUAAUAAUCUCGUGGACGAUGUCGAACGUGUGCAGUACCCUCCGGGGAAUCCAAGCUGAGACUCUUCAUUCUUAGAUUCAGCCUCUCGCGUCUACGUUGUGGACUAUGCGGCGCUUCAUGUUCCAUAAUGAGCGAUUAUAGUAAGUUAGCCUUUGAAAUUAGCUCGUUGCUCGACAUUGACACCAUUUAUUUAAGCAAUGUUAUUUUUUUAUUCUUUUUUUAUUUAUUUUUUUUUUUUUUCUUUACAAGCGAAUAGUUAGAAACAGAGAAAGAGAGAGAGAGAGAGAAAUUAGACAAAGUUUGGUUGCAGGACGAUACAAAUGUGUUGUUAGAAGGAUAAUUACCUACCCUUUUCAAAUUAUGUCGUGUUUUUUUUUUUUGCAAUUCAUCUUUUUUUUUCAGAUAAAAGAAAUUGAAAAGUUUGUAUAAUUUAUAGAUAGAUUAUUUCUUGUUACGAAAUAAUUUGCAGAAAAUGUAAGAAUAAAUGAAACUAAAUCAAAGCAAGAUGGCAAAGCGAAUGAAAAUUAUAAAAGAAGUUUUGCAAUUUUUCGUUAGACUCCGGACUUAUAAUAUAAUAUGAUAUUCAUCUAUAUGCGUGCAAGAAAAUUGCAAAUAUACACAAAUACACACACACAUAUGCAAAUAUGGAUUCGUAUUCUUUCGUUAAUUUUUUAUAAAAAAUAUUAAGUUUGUUGCAAAAAUAUAUCCGUUUGGCGUCAACGUCGAGGUCGAAAAUACACAUACAAGAAAUAAGAACACCAUAUAUAGAUAUACGAUUACACCAUGAAUGCAGACACAAAUAGUGUUUUUUUCAAUCAAGCGACAACUUCGAUCGGUAUAUACAAAUUUUUUUUUCACAGAUAAAAAAAAAAGAUAAUUUAUAGAAAUUAAAAAGAAUAAAGAAAGAAAGAAACAAACAAACAAAAAAUAAUAAUAAAAAGAAAACAAAGGAGAAAAAAAAAGGGACACGACUCGCGUAUCAAGAAAUGAAAGCAGGGGAGAAAAUAUUUAUUUAUAAUAUUUACAUGAUUUCUCCCUUUUUUUUUUUUUUUUUUGACAAAAUUUCGAAUUUUAUUUUCGAUGCAUCGGUUUCACGCAAUACGCAACAACGCUUCAUACUUCAUACUUCAUUUUCCUUCUUCCCUUAUUUUUUCGUGAAGAUUUUUUUCAUAUUCUUAUUUCUUAAAAUUUAGUUUUCCUUACAUUGAAAAGUAAAUGGAUUGCACUAUGAUGAGAAAAAGGAAAACCGGGAAAUUAGAAUAAGCUGAACAGAUUUGUAUAAUCAUACAUUUUUUUUGCAAAUUUUUUUUUUUUUUGAGAUUCGCACUCUCGAAACAUUCCCAAAUUUAAAAAAAAACUAUAUUGAAAUAAUAGUUAUUUAUAAGUUGUACAUUUAUUUGUACGUUUGAUAUAGUAUUAUAGCUUUGAUAUAGUAUUAUCGUAAUGAAUCCUUACCUUUUUUUUUCGUGUAAUUUUUUUUUUUUAACAACCUAUACGAUAAAAAUUCCGCAAAUAAUUUGCGUAGAUAUAAAAUUUAUCUUUUUUAUAAUUUUUAUGAUAAAAGAAAUUUUUUAUGAUAAAAGGGGAUACAACAAAUUGUUGUUUAUCAUUGCAUAUAAUUAAAUCGAUAUCUUUCAAAGAUUCCUUCUUUUCAAUAAUUUCCCAAUGAUAUUAAGAAAAGAAAGAUCGCUACAUCGAAGUUUUUUUUUUUAUUUUUCAAUGUGUAUUUUUCACAAAGAAAAGUAACAGGAUGGGAUUGUGCAAAUAAAUAAUAUUUUUUUUUUGAUUUUUAAACAUCGAUUCCUUUCUUAUGCUAAAAUGAUAUUAAUUGUAAACAUGUUCAGAAGAGAAUCGAAGAAAAUUCAUGGCAAUUCCAAUGUUCAUGCACUGGAAAUUGCAUCGUCAGUUCCUUGAUUCACGUAUUUAAACAACAACAACAACAAUAAUAACAAUAACCUGAAUAUAUACAUAUUCGAGAACAGGAGAAGAAGAAGCAAAAGUCAAUUAAUCUUCCUUUUUUUUCUUUUUUUUUUCUUUUUUUUUUUCGAAAUCAACUACCAAUUCCAUCUUCGAUUCCACGUAUUUUCACUGGCACUUUUCAUCAUCCCCAACCUCCCUUAUUACAUCGUUAUACCAUUCCGAACUUAAACCGAUACUUCCACUCUCACAUCACAUAAUUCACGAUAAACGAUACACGUCUUGAUUAAAAAUUUCUCCACUGAAUUUUCCACCUUCGUCAUUUUGAUUAACAAUUUCACUUGAUCUAUCUUAAUCAACUCCCAACUCCUACGUUUCCUCUUCCGUCUCGUUUCGCCGUCUUCAAAACUUGUCUUCUCAGUCGAUAAAUAAAUAACACUAGACGAAACUUUUUAUUCCCCAAGUAUAUCCCAUCUUUUUCUUCCCCGAGUCGCGGAACGUAGUUGCGUCUUCAUUUCACGGGUCAUCGUUUCUUGUUGGCCGCGCGAUAGAAACGUUCCAUCGGCCUUGGAGACGAGGUCGAGGGCGACUCCUGGCGGCUCAGUACCAACGGCUGGCCGAACGGUCUGGUCGCGGACAUCGAUCCACCGCUGCCCCGUCCUGGUCAAUGGAAUUGCAACGAUUUUUCCCACAUUAUUUUUCCCUCGUAUCAUUUUCUCGCUUUCGCGCUUUUCCACUCGCGAAUUUGCGGAUUUCUCUCUCUCAAUGCAAAACGCUGCUCAAACCUGUUUAUUCUUAUUACUGAAGCUAAGUUCUGCUUGUUAGUAGUAGGCGCACAAUUUCUCUGGGAUUCUCGAUAUCAAGCGUCGGUGGCGCUAUCUGGUGGCGUUCCUUCCGUACUAUCGCGUAUCGCUCGUCUCUUUCUCUCUUCGAUAGUUUGUCUUUUCUUUUCUUUUUUUCUCUAUUCCGCGGCGAACUUGGUUAGUUUUUCCAUUUUUGGCUCGAUUAGCUAUUCUCCCGCUGUUAUAUUUGCGAUUUUGGAGACUCGGGAAAUUGGCGAUAAAUAAAGUAUUGGGAUCAUUGAUUAUUUUAUUAUUAGUUACUUUUCUUUUCCUUUCUUUUUUUUUUCUUUUCGUCAAAUGACCGAGUAAUUUUGGUUAAAAAGACCAAAGUUUUGUGCCAUUAUACGGACUCUCGAGUACCAUUUUUUUUUUCUUUUUUCGAACGAUUUAUUUUUGACCGUAUAAUAAUCCUCUCUAACGUUUUUUUUUUUUCUUGAGAUGUGAACACCGUGUGAGCACCGUUACGUAAAAUAAUAAAAUAACAAAAAAAUUAUCACACGACAUAUAAUAGAUUCAUCGAUUAAUUGGUAGCGAAAGAAAUCUGUUUUGUCACUAUUCUUAUGUAAUAUAAUUUCAAACAUUUUAUCUCGAUCAAAAAAUUUCCGGACGUAAAAGCGGCGCGGUUCAAUGAUCGUGAAAAUACAAAUGGAAAAUAAUUUAUCCAGGUGGGUAGAUAGAUCCAUCAAUCAAUAUUCGCGGAUAAUCUAAUAACAAGCAUCGAGAUGACGGGGAAAAAAAUAUACAUAUACAUAUAUGUGGCGCGCUGGUAAAGAGGAAGAAUGAAGAUGAAGUGGGAGGAGAGAAAUAGAAAGAGAGACAGAGAAAAGAUCGGAAAGACAACAAAGAAAGAAAAAGAGGCAACGGUUACGAGUCAUGUCCCUGAAGAAGACUGAAGUAUACUUAUGUUGAUCAAAAGAAUAAAAAAUAAAAACAGGGUCACCUUGAAACAGAGAGAAUUGCUCAAGAAUUAUUGCAAGAAUCUUUGAUGUGAAAUCUCUCUUCAGAGUUGCAUCCUGUGUGUUUUGUAUUUUUUUUUUUUAAUGUAAUCCUCUUGGAAGAGAUAUAUUACUAGUCGUUGACAGUGACAAAAUUCGAUUCUUUUUUCUUCCUCUACUCGUUUAAAAAAAAAUAAUUUUUCGCUCGGCUUAUUUUUCUCUUUUGAAAAUUUUCUAUUCUUAUUUUUGUUUCUUGGCACAGAACAAAAUUUCAACGACGAAUCGAAUUUAUUUCCAUUGUAACUUUCAAAAAACUUGACCAACACCUCCAUUCUCUCCCUCAUAGAAAUAAACUAUUUCUAAAUGACAAAAAAAAAAAAAAAGAAACUUUCACGAUUUCAUAAUUUAUCAAGAGACAAAUUCGAACAAUUCGAGUUUCAUUUUUCCCUCUUUUGCACGAUGGAAUGCACUCUGAAGAGCACUUUUUUAUCUAACACUUCGCUACUAUUUUCAUUUCAGGAAUUGUGUUUUGAAAUUGUUUUCUUUUUCUUUUUUUUUUCUUUUCCCCCAAAAUAGAGAUUCUGCUUCAAGGUAAAGAGGAAUUGGUGCCUUGUGCCUUACCAGAGGUGGACGAGGAACAAGGGUGGGAGGAGGCCCUCGCUGACGAAGGUGCUGGAGGAUGAUCUGCUGUGGGAGGCGUAGGUGGUGAGUUUGUCGAGUUUCCACGGAUCUCGCCUGCCUGCUUCAGCACCUGGUAUAUGGCGUCCACGUCUGCCCACACGAGAUAGAGAGAUAGCAAAGAGAUGGCACGAGUUGCAUCGCACGAGAGAUGCUUUCUUUCCUUUCUUUUUUUUUUUUUUCCGUUUCUGUUUCGUUCGUUCUCGUUCGUUUCCCGUCAUUUUUUCGUUUCUCUUAUUGUCCUCGAUAAUUGUGUGCGAUUUAAAUCACUAGUUUCUUUUUUUUUUUUCCUCUCUAAAGCCAACAAGUGUCUUUAGAUGAUUCUCCCUUCUAGAAUAUUAUCCAGACGAUCGAAUUGUACGUUUAUAUAUCUUUAUAUAUCUUUGAAAAAAAGGCAAGAAAAGCUUCUCAAAUUUAAAGACACUUGUUCAUAGUUCACCUAUAUAUAUAUAUAUAUAUAUAUGUAUAUAUACUUCAAUUGAGUUUAAUUAAUUUGUACAAGUGUUAGUAGUGUCACUUGUUCAGAGUCACUGAAACUCUCUUUUGUAAUAUGAUAAAUCCUUUGCCGAUUUUCGAUCAUGGUCAAAUUUUUCAAACUGUACACAACAACGUUGCAAAGGCGAAGUGAUAACGAAAUUGUCAUCGAUCGUUUGGAAGGAGGAGGGAGAAGGAUAUGUUCAUGUUUGUGUGACGUCAAUAGAAGUGAAUCAAGUUGAAAGGAUUGAAAAAAGCGCAUAAGAAGCCAUUUAAUGGGGAAAUUAAAUUAAUGAAAUUCCUCUUGUUAAUAGCGUUUAAUCGUCGAAAGAGGCUCAUCCUUCUCACGUGAACGAAGUAUCAGCUUGAUUUAAAACUAUUAUUUACAACUAUGAACAAUGGAAUUGCACAAUCGAGAUCAUCAAGAUCUCGUUUUUUCUUUCUUCUCUAAAUUUUUCACCCUCGAUUUCUCCACACCUGAAAACUUCUAUUUUACAGAUAUUAGAUAAUCUUUAUUGAACCGAUGAUGGGGGUUCAAAUGGGAUCUGGAGGAACAGCCUGGUGAUCGACCUUUCAGCUUCGGUGACUCUGAACGGGGACGGCCAUUAUAUAUUGAAAAAAAAAAAAAAAAAAACAA